AAUGACAAAGUGUGUCCAAACCUUUGAGUGUGUGUGUGUGUGUGUGUGUGUGUGUGUGUGUGUGCUAUUGUGUAUUAUGAGAAUAUUUUGCAUGAAUACACGCCACACUAUGAGGACAUUUUGAAUUAUGAGGACAGGGUCGUUGUCCUCAUAAUUCUGACAAUGCAGAAGGGUUUCUUUAGGUCUAGAAGGCAGGAAUCCAACAUUUCUCCAAAAGUCUCAACAAUUCACACUGACCUGAAUUUGUGUAUAAUUUGUGUAUCAACAUAGCGCCCCUGUAGACAGGUCCUGGUAUUGCAUCUGCUCAUGAAUUAUUCCUACAGUGUAUAUUUCAGGGCUUCUGAUUGGUUGACAGGCGGAAGGUCCCCAUAAUUGCGGAUUUUGUCAGAAAAGCUGUGUAUUCUCGAAUUACACCAUGCGGUCACCUCAUAACCCAGAAAACUAUGCUGUCAUAAAGUAGCUACCACUUUUACUGGUAGACAGACAGAAAAACAGCAAGAUAUGACAAUUAAAGAGACAGCUAUGACCAGGAAAGACACAGAUAUAACCAGUACAGAGACAGAUAUGAAAAGAAAAGAGACAGAUGUGACCAGUGCAGAGAAACAUAUGACCAGUAAAGAGAAAGAUAUGACCGGUAAAGAGGCAGAUCUGACCAGUAAAGAGACAGAUAUGAUCAGUAAAGAGGCAGAUAUGACCAGUAAAGAGACAGUUAUGACAAGUAAAGAGACAGAUAUGACCAGUAAAUAGACAUAUAUUAUCAGUAAAGAGACAUAUUUGACCAGUAAAGAGACAUAUGUGACCAGUAAAGAGAAAUAUAUGACCAGUACAGAGACAGAUGUGACCAGUAAAGAGACAGAUAUGAUCAGUAAAGAGACAGCCAUGACAAGUAAAGAGACAGAUAUGACCAGUAAAGAGGCAAAUAUGACCAGUAAAGGGACAGAUACGACCAGUAAAUAGACAUAUAUUAUCAGUAAAGAGACAUAUUUGACCAGUAAAGAGACAUAUGUGACCAGUAAAGAGAAAUAUAUGACCAGUACAGAGACAGAUAUGACUAGUAAAAAGACAGAUAUGAUCAGUAAACAGACACAAAUGACCAGCGUGUCGCCAUCCAUCCAUCCAUCCAUCCAUCCAUCCAUCCAUCCAUCCAUCCAUCCAUCCAUUGUCUGCCACUUAUCCGGGGCCGGGUCACGGAGGCAGCAGUCUAAGAAAAGAGGCCUAGACUUCCCUCACCCCAUGUACCUCCUCCAGCUCUUCUGGUGGGACCCCAAGGCGUUCCCAGGCCAGCCGAGAGACAUAGUCCCUCCAGCGUGUCCUGGGUCUGCCCUGAGGCCUCCUCCUGGUGGGACAUGCCCAAAACACCUCCCUAUCGAGCCGUCCAGGAUGCAUCCGGAACAGAUGCCCAAGUGUUGUUGCCCCUCCGUUAAAAACUGGUAACCAGUCAGUCUGCCUAUUUAAAGGGUGAAAAGCAGUUACUAUGCUGUCACUGUACUGGUGUCAUGGUGCGUAUCACUCUGAACAUGAACAACAGAAAGCUGAAGAAAGAGUUAUCUCAGGACAUUAGAAAGAAAAUGAUGAACAAGCUUGAUUUAAAGGUUAAGAACAUCUCCAAGCAGCCUCAUGUUUCUGUGACAACAGCUACAAAUAUUCAGAAAUUUAAGGUCCACAGGAUUGUAGCAAACCUCUCUGGAAGUGGCUGCAAGAGAUGAUGACAAAUUGAAGAGACACAUGAUAUGAAUGGUCAUCAAAGAGCCCAGAACAACUUCCAAAGAGAUUAGAAGUGAACUCCAAGUUCAAGGUAUGUCAGUGUCUGAUUGUACCAUCCAUCACUGUUUGAGCCAUAGUGAUGACCAUGGAUGAGUUUGCGGUUGAGAGCAAAUCAUAAAAAAACGAGACUGGAAUUUUCGCAAAUGCAUAUUGAUAGGCCGCAGAGCUUCUCUGAGAAUGUCCAUUGGACAGAGGAAACAAAGCUGGAGCUUUCUGACAAGUCACAUUAAGUCUAUGUUCACAGAUGCAAAAAUUAAGCAUACAAAGUAAAGAGCACUGCACCAACAGUAAAACAUGGAGGAGGCUCUGUCAUGUUCUGGGGCUGCUUUGCUGCAUAUGAAUCUGUGCAGGGUUCAAUGAAAUCUCAAGAUUAUCAAGGCAUUCUGGAGGGAAACGUGGUGCCCAGUUUCAUAAAGCUUGGUCUCAGUCGCAGGUCAUGGGUCCUCCAACAGGAUAAUGACCCAAAACACACAACUAAACACACAAAAGAACGGUUAAGAACAAAACAUUGGACUGUUCUGUAGUGGCCUUCUAUGAGCCCUGAUCAAAAUCCUAUUGAACAUCUGUGGAAAGAGCUGAAACAUGGAGUCUCGAGAAGGCACCUUCAAAUCUGAGACAGUUGGAGCAAACAAACAAAUAAAACGCUAAAUCAAGGGUACCAUAUUUUUGUCCAGGCCAGUUUCAUGGACGAAAUUUUUUUUUUAAUUAUUCAGUUUAACCACAAUUCAAAAGCAAUGUCUGAUUUUUUUUAUUUGUUAAUUUUCAGGAAAUAAUUAUUUGUUAUUACUUAGUUUCAAGUUAUUUCAGGUUUUUCUGUCUUAAACAGAAGGGUACCAACAAUUUUGUCCAUGUGUGUAUGACCACUAAAAAGACAGAUAUGACCAGAAAAGAUCGAGAUUCAGAAUGCUUUAUUAAUCCCCAAAUGGCAAUUUUUUUUUCUACAGUCGACCUCAUUCAAGUAAAGAAUUAUAUGAAAUAAAGUAGAUCAAAAGAGACAACAGCAAUCAGAUGAUAGGACAAACACAGCCUCAACAUAAACACAAACAGGUCAGUGUGAUCUGCAGGAACCAAGACCCACUCUGCUGUCACGAGGAGCCAGAUAGACAAACACCAUUCAUCCAUUCAUUAUACCGCUUAUCCAUGAAGGGUCACAGGGGUGCUGGAGCCUAUCCAAGCUGAUAUUAGGUGUGAGGCAAGGGGACACCCUGAUCAUUAUCAAUUAACCUAACAAGCAUGUCUUUGGUUAGUGGGAAAAAACUGGAAUAUCAGGAAAGAACCCACAGGGCACCGGGAGAACAUGCAGACUCCACACAGAAAGGUCCCAGCCCCAAGAGGUCGCGAACCAGGAAACUUCUUAGUGUUAGGCAGCAGUGCUAACCACUGCAGCAUUGCGCCUCCUCUAGACAAAGUUCUGUGAUUAAAAAAAGAGACAAAUAUGACCAGUAAAGAGACCUAUAAGACAGAUGUGCUUCGAAUAGUUGCACAAAACAGUCAGUGUUUGGAAAAUGGUGUUGAGUGCUGCAUUUUUUUAUGAGCUGGCUAUAUGCAAUUGCCUACUUGCCUGCUCCAUAAGAAGUAAGUGAAUACAAAUAAUGUAUGAUUUUUUUGCCAUCUCUUUUUUAAAAUUUUUAUUUAAUUUUUUAAAACAUUUUUUAAGAUUGUUAUUCGGCUAUUUUUAAUCGUUAUUUUGAAUAAUUUCUGAUGAAUAUGUCAGGGAAAGCACGUAUUAUAUGUUGAUAUUUAUUUAAGAAGUAAUAUUUUAUAUUUUCUUUUAAAUAUAGAAAUGAAAAUGGCGUUACUUUAACAUACACACAUUUGCUUGACAUAAUAAAUAAAAUAGAAAAUGCGCUUCCUGAGGUUGACUUCUCUUCAGCCAAUCACCGUCGUUGUUGUGGCCCUGUGACACCUAAUGCUUCCUGACUUUCACCGUCUGCAGGAACACGUCUCUUUUGAAUGCCUGCAGGUGUGGACGCAAGAGGUAAGGCCUGAAACUAACCACCAUAUGUGGAGUCCAAAAAUUAGUGUGACCGAGUAUAUUUUUAUAUUGUUAGUUUAAAGCGUGAGUGUCAUUCACAGUGUGCAGUCCUGCACUAUUUUUCGGGCCAAUAAACGUUAGCGCUGCAUGCAACGCUACAUGUGGUGCUAACGUUAAUUAGCGUUAGCAUGUGGCGCUAACGUUAAUUAGCAUUAGCUUUAAAUGCAACGCUACGCAUGUGAAGCUAACUUUAAUGUUAGUUAGCCUAGCUUAGGUUAAGUCUGCAUGUUUGCAUUUACCUACCGAACUGUUUUUUUUUCUUUAAGCGUUCUUUUAAUGAAAAGUUAUCUUUGUGAGCAAUUGAAAUUAUAGUAAGUUAAUGUUAUGUUAAUGCACUCUGCAGAUUUGCCAUUUAAUGAAACUUAGCUGCACAGUGUGUAAGUAAAUAUGCUAUUUGGCACAGUUUAAGUAAAAGUAGAAAAAGUGUCUGGGAUUUUUUUCACUGGGCUGUAUUGGUACAUUAAAAUGAAAAAGUAAUCCAUGACAAAAGACAGCUGUACAGUGGUCUGUUGAUAGUGAUAUUACUAGUGUAAUGAAAGUUAAACCAGACUAUUUCACUUUAUGUGUUUCUGUUUAUCAUUCCUACAGGCAUUAUCAUUUGACUGCAUGACAAAACAGAAAUGGCCAUGAGGCCGCAAAGGGCAAAAAUAAAACCAAAAGAAGAAGCAAAAUAUUUUGCAUCCCUGGGUAAAGACAAGGAUGGAUUUGAAGUGCAGUUUAUUAAUUCAUACAAAGGUCGAGGAGUGUUCAGCAGGCGCUACUUUCAGAAAGGAGAGUUCCUCAUAGAGUAUCGUGGAGAAAUAAUAAGCAAAAAAGAACAUGAAAACCGCCUUAGACUGUACCAUGACGCCCUCAAAGUGUUCAUGUUUGAAUUUCGCCAUGAUGGAAAAAAAUUAUGCAUUGAUGCAGCCAAAGAAGAUAACUCCCUUGGGAGACUGGUGAACGAUGACCACAUCAGUCCAAACAGUAAAAUGAAAACAAUCGCAGUCACUGGAAUACCGCAUCUCUGUUUGUUCGCACUGAAGGAUAUCAAACCAGGAGAAGAGAUAACGUACAACUAUGGAGACUCUG